AUUGAACGCUGGCGGCAUGCCUUACACAUGCAAGUCGAACGGCAGCACGGGAGCAAUCCUGGUGGCGAGUGGCGAACGGGUGAGUAAUAUAUCGGAACGUGCCCGGUCGUGGGGAUAACGUAGCGAAAGCUACGCUAAUACCGCAUACGAUCUACGGAUGAAAGCGGGGGAUCGCAAGACCUCGCGCGAUUGGAGCGGCCGAUAUCAGAUUAGGUAGUUGGUGAGGUAAAGGCUCACCAAGCCGACGAUCUGUAGCUGGUCUGAGAGGACGACCAGCCACACUGGGACUGAGACACGGCCCAGACUCCUACGGGAGGCAGCAGUGGGGAAUUUGGACAAUGGGCGCAAGCCUGAUCCAGCAAUGCCGCGUGCAGGAUGAAGGCCUUCGG
rnacentral:rRNA from 1 species